GACGAACGCUGGCGGCGUGCUUAACACAUGCAAGUCGAACGGAAAGGCCCUGCUUUUGUGGGGUUCUCGAGUGGCGAACGGGUGAGUAACACGUGAGUAACCUGCCCUUGACUUUGUGAGAACUUCAGGAAACUCGGGCUAAUACCGGAUAGGAGCUCCUGCUGCAUGGGGUGGGUUGGAAAGUUUCGGCGGUUGUGGAUGGACUCGCGGCUUAUCCGCUUGUUGGUGGGGUAGGGGCUUACGAAGGCUGUGAAGGGUAGGCGGCCUGAGAGGGUGACCGGCCACAUUGGGACUGAGGUACGGCCCAGACUCCUACGGGAGGCAGCAGUGGGGAAUAUUGCACAAUGGGCGGAAGCCUGAUGCAGCAACGCCGCGUGCGGGAUGACGGCCUUCGGGUUGUAAACCGCUUUCGCCUGUGACGAAGCGUGAGUGACGGUAAUGGGUAAAGAAGCACCGGCUAACUACGUG
rnacentral:rRNA from 1 species